GGAGGUUACGUAGCACUGGAUCUGGCUUUAGCAACUCAUAUGGCAAUCUUCCAUGAACAUAAGCAUGAAACUCAUCAUUGUCAAACUCGUAUCCCAUCACCUGCAAGAAAUGACAUGGAUGUGUCUUGUCCAGACAAAUGAUCUUGUUCGAGGUAUACUGACACAGGAUAGAAUCUGGCAAUAGGCAUAUGCCUUGAUAAAAUCCAUGCAUGGAAACUAGAGGAACAAAUUUUGAUAGGAAAGAAACAUGAAAAAAGAUAGUAGUAAUAAAAAAAACACAAUAAGAUUACCUUGAACUAAGCUUGUUUUUUGAGAAGUGGCUCUUAGUUUGUUGCACAAUGGAUUAUGAGCCAUAGAGGGGGCACAUAUUUAUAGCUGAGUAGGAUGAGAUCAUGUUUUGAUAAUGGAGUGUCCACCAUUAUAAAGAAUAAUUAGAGGUUACAAUUAUACCAUGCACUUGCUGAGGUGGCAAGCAUGUGUAGCCACUAUUAUAAGAGAAUUUUCAAAUCAAUUCUAUAUGACUAUAUGGGUCGUUAUCUUGUUAUUGAUUUUAUAUUAGUCAUGAUUAAGAAAUUUCAUAAGAUAUGUUAUAAUAUUAGUUUUUAUCUCAGGAUUUGUAUUAUAAAGUAUGUCCCAUUAAUCUUCUAGGCGUGUAAUCCACCUUGUAAGUGAAAAUUGUUGUAGAAAAUGGCCUCUUCUUCGGAGUAUAAAUAAUGAAAUUUAUUAGAUUUCAUUUUCACUCGAUUGGUUUGAGAUAUCAUUACAGGAAUAGAAUAAUUCUCGCAUAAAAAAUAAUCCAGAAAAUUUGUAACAGUCUUUUUCUCUCCUGGGGGGAAAAGUGACACUUGGCCACAGAAGUAAUUAGUAUAAUGAUUAAUCCCCAAAGCCAACUUAUACAUAAUAUUAUGUCAAAUAUUUAGGCGACUUGCUCUUUGUUUACCAAUUAAGAGGAAAGACUGAGGAAGGACCAAAUCUGAAGCAAAGCAAGGAAAUCAUGUAGUACAAUUUAAUAGCCAAAUAAUGAUUCAUGUGUGUCAUAAUCUAAUGCAGAUCCACCCCACACCUCUUUCUACUUUAUUCUGGUUCUGUAUGCUUUAUUUAGGUUGUCAUAAAAAACUAUACACUAAAAAAGUAUUGCAAUACUUAUGAGAAAAGAAUUGUGAUUAUUCAUAGUGAUAUGAUAUGAGUGGAUUUAGCAAUAGAAACUGCUUGCUUGGUAUGUCUCCACUUGUAUUUUAUUCUCUAAACAGAAAACAAAGUAAUUAGAAUAGUGGAUUUUAGAUAAGAAUAUUUGCUCCCGAGGAUAUGUUCUUUAUUACACGAGUAAGGUAAUAAAGUAUAAUCCUGGGUAUCAAGCAUAACUCUGUGUUAGAUCUUUAUUCAUAGAACCUAAGAGAACUUUCAACAAACACACAAUAUAUUAUCAAUUUCAACAAAUUAGUGAACAAAAAUUUCAAAAUAUAUCUUGAAUUCUUGACAUGUUUUUAUGCUAAAUCGAGAUAUCCAGACCCCAAAGCAUGUUCAUUAGUAACAACUUUUGGUAGCUAAAGACAAAUAGUUUUCACAUAUGACAUAUUGUGGAUAGUAUAAAAUGAGCUUUAAUAUGUCUAAAUAUAAUUGACCUUAUAUAGUAUUGAUUCACACCUUGCUAUCCCCUCAAAAAAAUAGACACUCAACUAUAAUUAAUUGCAUGAUUGGCUACUCACAUACGCUUGUAUAGUAUUUGUAUAUGAUGAAUUAUUGUGUUGUAAUUGUUUAUUAGGCAAUUAAACAAUUAAAGUGAUUCCUUUUACACACUGAUUUUCAAUGACGGAUUAGGUUAGGUGUCUCAUAUUUUUUUACUUGCACGUUUUAAUAUGCAUAAACGUUAUUGUGAGCACUGAACUCUGAACACGGCAAAGCUGAUUUGCUAUACUUGUUAAAUACAAAA